AACGAACGCUGGCGGCAUGCCUAACACAUGCAAGUCGAACGAGACCUUCGGGUCUAGUGGCGCACGGGUGCGUAACGCGUGGGAACCUGCCCUUAGGUUCGGAAUAACUCCCCGAAAGGGGUGCUAAUACCGGAUAAUGUCUUCGGACCAAAGAUUUAUCGCCUUUGGAUGGGCCCGCGUUGGAUUAGCUAGUUGGUAGGGUAAAAGCCUACCAAGGCGACGAUCCAUAGCUGGUCUGAGAGGAUGAUCAGCCACACUGGGACUGAGACACGGCCCAGACUGCCACGGGGGGGAAGUGUGGGAAAUUGGGCACAAGGGGCAAGCGGCAAACCCCGAUGCGGCGUGAGGGUGAUGGGGGUGUUAGGGUUAUAAACCUUUUACACCGGGGGUGAUAAGGACAGUAGCGAGAAAAUACGCCCCGACUAACUG
rnacentral:rRNA from 1 species